rfam:Cavia porcellus supercont2_6 genomic scaffold, whole genome shotgun sequence.
UUUCCAGAGGAGAUUAGCAUGGCCUCUGUACUAGGAUGACAUGGACAUUUGAGAAGUAUUCCAUAGUUUA